UGGGAGCAAUAUUACCCCUUUCUCGUCGGAAACCAUGGGGAUUUGGGUUCCUCAAGCGCCCGCUCCUCUAUGCCCAUCUCAAAAUUAUCCACAAAUGGGAGGGCAAAUUGGGGGAUAAAGGAGACGAAGGAGGCAGCAAUCAUGAAAGCUAACAACAAAAGGUGGACUGAUGAUGCAUUUACGGUUCCACAGAUUAGCACUCCAUCCACUGGUUUCAAGAGAUCUAGACUGUUCUGGUAGGACAAAACUGGCAUGCUCUUGUCCAGUAAUAUCAAGAACAAUGCCUCAUGCUUUGUAUUUUUUAUAUAGCAAGUUUCUUCAUAUCUGGUUUAUUUAAAGUGUAUCUGCCCCUCUUUCUCUUUUUGCACGUGAUCCAAUCCCACUAGUUUUUGGAUUUUGUUUCUGUUUUUCCUUAGUUCCUUGUACUUGCAAAAUGUAGACAUCUUCUGUAUAUACGAAUAAACCUAGCUUUUUUCCUUUUCCAUUCUAUUAUUGUAAGUGUGAUGAAAG
rnacentral:misc_RNA from 1 species